GUCCGGAAUUAUUGGGCGUAAAGAGCUCGUAGGCGGUUUGUCGCGUCUGCUGUGAAAUCUGGGGGCUCAACCCCCAGCCUGCAGUGGGUACGGGCAGACUAGAGUGCGGUAGGGGAGAUUGGAAUUCCUGGUGUAGCGGUGGAAUGCGCAGAUAUCAGGAGGAACACCGAUGGCGAAGGCAGAUCUCUGGGCCGUAACUGACGCUGAGGAGCGAAAGCGUGGGGAGCGAACAGGAUUAGAUACCCUGGUAGU
rnacentral:rRNA from 15 species